UAUCCCUCAGGAUAGCUGGAGCUCAAAUUGAGAGUUUUAUCAGGUAAAGCGAAUGAUUAGAGGCAUUGGGGGUGAAACACCCUCGACCUAUUCUCAAAAUUUAAAUAGGUAAGGUGUCGGGGUUGCUCCGGCUGAACCCCGACCUUUGAAUCUGAGCUCCAAGUGGGCCAUUUUUGUUAAGCAGAUCGACUAGGCCGUUUUCGG
rnacentral:ncRNA from 1 species